CUAAAGUUACCCGCUGCGGGUCACUUGGAUGCGGGCAGCCGGAACAUCAGGAAGGGCAAAGGUCUCUCUAGUGGGUUCGGGGGAAUGGAAGGAGGAAAACCUCCGCGAAGAGGCGAUCCACGGCCCGGCCCGGGCUCCCACGAUGGAUCCAGACUCGGGCUCCCUUGAGACAAGUCUGCCCCUAGACCCGGGCUGAGGGCAUUGGGCACGGACUAAAGUUCCGGGAACUUGGCAGUUGGCAGCUUCCACAGCGCUGGUCAAACAAACCAGAACUCUGACAGAAGACACUUUUAUGGCAGAGACCGGCUCUCAAGUUAGAAACAGAAAAGCUAACUGGAAAGGUCAGCAAGACCAUAUAACCUGUGGCCGUGGACAUUCAAGACUUCGAGUCUAAUUCAGUGCC